rnacentral:rRNA from 1 species
UACGUAGGGGGCGAGCGUUAUCCGGAUUUAUUGGGCGUAGAGUGUGCGUAGGCGGUUUACUAAGUCUAAGAUUAAAGCCUGAGGCUUAACCUCAGUUCUUUUUAGAAACUGGUAGACUUGAGUGUGGUAGAGGCAAGUGGAAUUUCUAGUGUAGCGGUUAAAUGCGUAGAUAUUAGAAGGAGCACCAGUGGCGAGGGCGGCUUACUGGGCCAUUACUGACGCUGAGGCACGAAAGCGUGGGGAGCAAAUA